rnacentral:rRNA from 1 species
AUUGAACGCUGGCGGCAUGCCUUACACAUGCAAGUCGAACGGCAGCACGGGGGCAACCCUGGUGGCGAGUGGCGAACGGGUGAGUAAUGCAUCGGAACGUGCCCAGUAGUGGGGGAUAACUAGUCGAAGGAUUAGCUAAUACCGCAUACGACCUAUGGGUGAAAGCGGGGGACCUUUACCGGCCUCGCGCUAUCGGAGCGGCCGAUGUCUGAUUAGCUAGUUGGCGGGGUAAAGCCACCAAGGCUUCGAUCAGUAGCUGGUCUGAGAGGACGACCAGCCACACUGGGACUGAGACACGGCCCAGACUCCUACGGGAGGCAGCAGUGGGGAAUUUUGGUACAAUGGGCGCAAGCCUGAUCCAGCCAUGCCGCGUGCGGGAAGAAGGCCU